GCCAGGCACAGUGGCACAUGCCUGUAAUCCCAGCAGCUCUGGAGGCUGAGACAGGAGGAUUGCGAGUUCAAAGCCAGCCUCAGCAACAGCGAGGCACUAAGCAACUCAGUGAGACCCUGUCUCUA
rnacentral:sRNA from 1 species